CGGCCGCAGAUCCCGGCAACUUGCGAACCGGGAAAAGUUUGCGGCGCCUCCGCGGGGCGGCGCGACGCGGCCCGCCCCUCGCGUCCGCGGUCAUCGCGGGUGACUUUCUCGACUCGUCGUCAGCCGGGGCCGCAGCGCGGCCGGUGGGGACUGCGGGGCGGGCCGGAGUCCGUCCGAGGGCUCCCGCACCUCGGGCUGCGGGAACAUUAAAAUCUCCCCAGAUGCUCACUGCUCUGAUCAUUUCCCCUACAGCACCAGACAUGUUGGCAUCAUCUCUUAGUUGGGCCAUGUGGCCAGGGAACCCUUCAUGAAACCACCUCUGCAGUCCUGGAGAGUUGCUGUAGAAGAAGGAAAAGAGAGGAAGACAACACAACACAGGAGGGGAUAAGUACCUCUGGACACAAUGGAAGUAGUAGUUGUUGAGCAGAGGGAAAGGGAUAGGAGAAGGAUGUGGACUGCAGUGCUGCAGUGCCAGGAAGUUCGAGGACCUUCAGAAAUCAAUCCAUGGGCUCCACAAGCACUGUAUCAAGAGGCAUUCGAGACCAGUCUGGGCUAGAGGUGGACAUGAGAGAAAGAUCCCAUAGCCCUCUUGGUCUUGGUUGGAACAGGAGGAAAAUGAAAACUGGACAUCCAUCUUAGGACUUAAUCCUACGGAGACCACAAGCUG
rnacentral:lncRNA from 1 species